AUAGCCGCAGUAUUACUGUGCUAAGGUAGCAUAAUAACUUGCUUCUUAAUUAGGAGAUCGCAUGAAGGGUUAUACAUUAGGAUCCUGUCUCUUUUAACCAAAUAAACUUAAGUAAAAAGUAAAAACUCUUUUAACCAAAGCGGGACGACAAGACCCUGACAAACUUAACAUUUAGUUGGGGAAACAAAAUAAUAAAUAUUUAUUCAUAACUUAAACAUAACUUUAAAAUAAAAACAAGACUAGUUACUGCAGGGAUAACAGCGUUAUUUCUUUUAAGAGCUCUGAUCUAAAAAGAAGAUUACGACCUCGAUGUUGAAUUAAUUCCGCUAUACGGGUGCAACAACCCUAUAAGGUAGUCUGUUCGACUAUUAAAAAAUU
rnacentral:rRNA from 1 species